GUUCUGGGAACUGAAGUGGAGAACAAGUGAGACACAGCCCUUGUACUUUUGCAGAUUCCGUUCUAGGGGGUGCAACAGACAUCUCAGAAAUUAAACAAAGAAAUUAGAAUUUCAGAGAGAUUUAAGUGCUGUAAAAAUUGAGCAGGUGAUAGAGAGUGACGAGAAGACAUGAGAUGAUAGCUAACACUUAUUGAUCGUUUACUAUUUCCUAAGUGCUAUCUUUUUGUUAACCAACCUUUACAACUAUUUAGGUAUCAUUAUUUUACCCAUUUUGCAAAUGAAGACAUUGAGGAACAGAGUGACAAGUACUUCUCCAAAGGUAUCUAGUUAGUAAGCAAGAGAGAGGGGGUCUGGACCCAGGCAGCGUUAUUUUUGUUUGCUUGUUUCUUUUUUGUCAUACAGAUAGGAUUCAAGUUCAGGUUGUCCUGGCCAAAAUUUCCUUCCCAGCCCCCAGUACAUACAACCUCCCAACAGUUUAGUGUGCCAGGUAGCCCAAUGGCAGCCGGUUUGCUUGGAGGCGGCUAGGUUCUUCUUUUCCAUUAGAUAACACAAGGGAAAAGGGAAACCAGUGCUGGGUCCAGGAUCAGCACGCCUGAGACCAUCGUGCUUGAGCUUCCUUUAGGCCAAACAGCACCUGACUGAUGGUGAGCUGUCGGCCAACGGUGGAGGAGCAGAUGGAAAUCAGCUUGAACGCUGGAGGAACAGAAAGGAAAGCCCAUGAGGCUGGGGCUUGUUAAGCCUGCCAGAGAAUGGAAGGUGUGACAGGAGAAAUGAACACUUUAUGGGAAUUCCCUGGCGGUCCAGUGGUUAGGACUUGGCACUUUCACUGCCAGGGCCCGGGUUCAAUCCCUGGUCGGAGAACUAGGAUCCUGCAAGCCAUGUGGUGCAGCCAAAAAAAAAAAAAAAAAAAAAAGACCAAAAAAUGAACAAAUAAAAAACAGCAACAAAAAAACACUUUAUAUGUCUCUUUGGCACUAUGGAAGAAACAAGGCUCAGAAAACUCCGAAGUUUCUUUGUUUUCUUUUCUUUUCAUUGUUUUUAAUUGAAGUAUAGCUGAUUUACAAUGUAGUGUGUUUUCUUAAAAUAGUAUCAGUUUCUUUUGUUCUCAAGUAUGUGACUACUCCUUAUAACAUGACCAAAAGUAAGAAGCCUGGAUUCCAUAAAAUCCAGCAGUAUGUAGGUAUAUUUGUAGUGAAAAUGUAAAAGCAAAUUUAGUCAGCAAAUUUUACAUGUAAUUUACAUGUAACUAAAUGGGAUUUUGAAUUUAUAUGUACUCAAACUGUUGAUUAGUUGGUAAAGUCUUAUUGUGCAUAAUACCUUUUAAUGUGCCUAAACUAUUUAAGUGACCUUAGAUUUGUUUAAAAAAAAAU
rnacentral:tRNA from 1 species